CGGUGUUUAACUGGCGUGAUGUGGGACGUCCUACCCGGUGGGCUUAGCCUCGCGAGGGGCGGCCCAACUAAUAUCCCGUCGCGGUGCUCUUUACUGAGUGUCGAGUCGGGCCGGUACGUUUACUUUGAACAAAUUAGAGUGCUUAAAGCAGGCUAUCCUCGCCUGAAUACUGCGUGCAUGGAAUAAUGGAAUAGGACCUCGGUUCUAUUUUGUUGGUUUUCGGAACCCCGAGGUAAUGAUUAAUAGGGACAGAUGGGGGCAUUCGUAUUGCGACGUUAGAGGUGAAAUUCUUGGAUCGUCGCAAGACGGACAGAAGCGAAAGCAUUUGCCAAAAAUGUUUUCAUUAAUCAAGAACGAAAGUUAGAGGUUCGAAGGCGAUCAGAUACCGCCCUAGUUCUAACCAUAAACGAUGCCAGCUAGCGAUCCGCCGAAGUUCCUCCGAUGACUCGGCGGGCAGCUUCCGGGAAACCAAAGCUUUUGGGUUCCGGGGGAAGUAUGGUUGCAAAGCUGAAACUUAAAGGAAUUGACGGAAGGGCACCACCAGGAGUGGAGCCUGCGGCUUAAUUUGACUCAACACGGGAAACCUCACCAGGCCCAGACACCGGAAGGAUUGACAGAUUGAUAGCUCUUUCUUGAUUCGGUGGGUGGUGGUGCAUGGCCGUUCUUAGUUGGUGGAGCGAUUUGUCUGGUUAAUUCCGAUAACGAACGAGACUCUAGCCUGCUAAAUAGGCGUACCUUAUGGUAUCGCGAAGGCCCCCGGCUUCGGCCGGUGGGUUUUUACUACCAACGUACAAACAAAUCUUCUUAGAGGGACAGGCGG
rnacentral:rRNA from 1 species